CUCAUUAAAAGCAUUUGUUAAAUUUUCAGCUACCUUUGCAUUUAAUAAUUAAUUUAUUUUUACAGUCUAACAGAUUAUUGCGUCUCUAACAAAGAGUUUAAUAUAAUUUAAAUGGCAUCUAAAUAUUAUAAGCUCCUUGAUGCGAAGACAAUAACGAAACCAAAGGCAAAAAAAAGGAAUGCCCGGAGUGGGGCAUUUACAUGUGAUGUCUUUUGUGAAGAAAACAACUUCCGGUCAAGAACACAAAUGAGCUACAAAGGACACACCCACACACGCACACACACACACAGUUCGUAGACAGUGAAUGCAAUAAACAGGCAAGACAAUAACAAUGUAGGGCGACGAUGUUUCAUUGUUGUGGACAAUGCUAAACAAAUGGGAAACAUUUGCUGGGACACCACGAGAGCCAAACAAAAGCUGGGAAUGCAGUCGGAAAAGUUUCAAUAAGGAAAUGCUAUGUGUAUAUAAAAUAAAUGAAAAGUGUGCAAAA